rnacentral:rRNA from 1 species
AGAGUUUGAUCCUGGCUCAGGAUGAACGCUAAGGCUUAACACAUGCAAGUCGAACGGCAGCGGGGGCUUCGGCCUGCCGGCGAGUGGCGAACGGGUGAGUAAUGCAUCGGAACGUGCCCAUGUCGUGGGGGAUAACGUAGCGAAAGCUACGCUAAUACCGCAUACGUCCUGAGGGAGAAAGCGGGGGAUUCUUCGGAACCUCGCGCGAUUGGAGCGGCCGAUGUCGGAUUAGCUAGUAGGUGAGGUAAAGGCUCACCUAGGCGACGAUCCGUAGCGGGUCUGAGAGGAUGAUCCGCCACACUGGGACUGAGACACGGCCCAGACUCCUACGGGAGGCAGCAGUGGGGAAUUUUGGACAAUGGGGGCAACCCUGAUCCAGCCAUGCCGCGUGAGUGAAGAAGGCCUUCGGGUUGUAAAGCUCUUUCAGCCGGGAAGAAAUCGGCGUCUCUAACAUAGGCGCUGGAUGACGGUACCGGACCAAGAAGCACCGGCUAACUACGUGCCAGCAGCCGCGGUAAUACGUAGGGUGCGAGCGUUAAUCGGAAUUACUGGGCGUAAAGCGUGCGCAGGCGGUCUUGUAAGACAGAUGUGAAAUCCCCGGGCUUAACCUGGGAACUGCGUUCGUGACUGCGUAACUAGAGUACGGCAGAGGGAGGUGGAAUUCCGCGUGUAGCAGUGAAAUGCGUAGAGAUGCGGAGGAACACCGAUGGCGAAGGCAGCCUCCUGGGCCAGUACUGACGCUCAUGCACGAAAGCGUGGGGAGCAAACAGGAUUAGAUACCCUGAUAGUCCACGCCCUAAACGAUGUCAACUAGUUGUUCGGUGAGGAGACUCAUUGAGUAACGCAGCUAACGCGUGAAGUUGACCGCCUGGGGAGUACGGGCCGCAAGGUUAAAACUCAAAGGAAUUGACGGGGACCCGCACAAGCGGUGGAUGAUGUGGAUUAUUCGAUGCAACGCGAAAA